CUGUAGCUCAGCUGGAUAGAGCAACGGCCUUCUAAGCCGUGGGUCGGGGGUUCGAAUCCCUCCAG
rnacentral:tRNA from 5 species